GACGAACGCUGGCGGCGUGCCUAAUACAUGCAAGUCGAACGCAGUGGGGACGGGUGAGUAACACGUGGGUAACCUCCCAUCAGAGGGGAUAACACUUGGAAACAGGUGCUAAACCGAUACUGAUGGAUGAACCCGCGGUGCAUUAGCUAGUUGGUGGGGUAACGGCUCACCAAGGCCACGAUGCAUAGCCGGCCUGAGAGGGUGAUCGGCCACACUGGGACUGAGACACGGCCCAGACGCCUACGGGAGGCAGCAGUAGGGAAUAUUCGGCAAUGGACGAAAGGCUGACCGAGUAACGCCGCGUGAGUGAAGAAGGUUUUCGGAUCGUAAAGCUCUGUUGGUAGAGAAGCGUUAUCUAACCAGAAAGCCACGGCUAACUCCGUGCCAGCAGCCGCGGUAAUAC
rnacentral:rRNA from 1 species